CAAAUGUAAACAAAUGUCCAGUGUGUGUGUAAGAACCAUAUGUGUGGGUCAGUACUAUGUGGUGGUGUGAUUGAGAGACCGUAUCGCCUGCGGGAAGAAGCUCCUCCUCAGUCUCUCUGUGUUGGUCUUCAGGAAUCGCUUUCCUGACCUCAACAGAGAGAACAGUCCGUUGUUGGGAUGGCUGAGGUCCUUCACGAUCCUCCUGGCCUUGGUCCAGCACCGCCUGCUGUAGAUUGAGUGCAGACUCAGACCCUCCUCCUCCCCGUCUCCACCUCAGACAGAGCUCCACCCGAGCCUCAUCUUCAUCUUCACCACCACCAGCAUCGAGACUCUGAGGGAUCCUGUCCCAACAUCAUCAGUGCAUUUUAAUGCUUAGACAGACGUUGCAGGAGGCCUUUACCUUUGUCACCGAGCCUCACAGCACAGUCUUCA
ensembl:lncRNA